rnacentral:lncRNA from 1 species
CAGAAACCAGCCGGCGAUGUGACAGGCCGGCUAACAGGAGGCUCCAGGGCUAAUGCCGAGGCAUUUAUGACUACGUUGCAGUUUUACAAUUAAGCUGUAGUAAGUACCUUUACUCGUGAAACUGGGCGCCAUUCUCUUGACUUUCCGGCGCUCUGCUUCACGUCUGGUUCACACUGGAAGCGCCGCGCGCGGAACGGAAGCGCCGCGCACAGAGUUUCGGAUCGGCGCCCAUGUUAACCUAUGAGACUGUUCACACAGCACGCGCGCGGAAGCGCCGCGCGCGGAACGGCUCGCGCUCUGGAGCGCGGGUGCUCCGCUUCUCUCUAUUUUCGGCGCGAGCCGCGAGCGCCGAUGUAAAGCUCAACAGAGCAGAUCGGACCAGACAGGAAGUCAGGAAGGAGAUGCGAGAGAAUCCGGUCAAUUUUCAAAAUAAAGUAAAUUUCAAUAAAUUAGAAAAGGAUUUACGGUGUUGCUUGUCAGUCUAUUUUUUUUACCGAUGAACACACACACACACACACACACACACACACACACACACACACACACACACACGCACACACGGAGGGAGAGCUGCAGAGAUUCAGUGAUGUUAUUGAGACAAAGAGGGGGGACUUUAUUACGAUACAGUCAAUAGCCUCGAGCUAACAAGGCUAUACAUACAACGGAGUCAACAGACUCCCCAAUUUAUUCGUCGUUUACCCCUAUAUCAUUAUUUAAAAGCAUCGUACUUGAAGAUGCUGUCAAUAUUUAAUUCAUGUAUGACGAAAUAAAAACGUAAAUAAAUAGUGAUUUACCCAUUUUUAAAGCGCUCGUAAGUGUGGAAAACUGAGGGCAGACGGAAACGGCCGAGCACUAUCGGGCUCAGUCGAUGUCUGACCGGCAUGUCAGAGCGCAGCAGAAAGCGCUUCCUGUGUGACGUCUGGUUCACACAGGAAGCGCCGCGCGCGGAACGGAAGCGCCGCGCGCGCGCGCGCAGCGCCGGCUCGCGCUUGGCUGUUCACACAGGAAGCGCUUUCUGCUGCGCUCUGACAUGCCGGUCAGACAUCGACUGAGCCCGGUAGUGCUCGGCCGUUUCCGUCUGCCCUCAGUUUUCCACACUUACGAGCGCUUUAAAAAUGGGUAAAUCACUAUUUAUUUACGUUUUUAUUUCGUCAUACAUGAAUUAAAUAUUGACAGCAUCUUCAAGUAAUGUUUUAAAUUAUUAUAUAGGGGUAAACGACGAAUAAAUUGGGGAGUCUGUUGACUCCGUUGUAUGUAUAGCCUUGUUAGCUCGAGGCUAUUGACUGUAUCGUAAUAAAGUCCCCCCCCUCUUUGUCUCAAUAACAUCACUGAAUCUCUGCAGCUCUCCCUCCGUGUGUGCGUGUGUGUGUGUGUGUGUGUGUGUGUGUGUGUGUGUGUGUGUGUGUGUGUGUGUGUGUUCAUCGGUAAAAAAAAUAGACUGACAAGCAACACCGUAAAUCCUUUUCUAAUUUAUUGAAAUUUACUUUAUUUUGAAAAUUGACCGGAUUCUCUCGCAUCUCCUUCCUGACUUCCUGUCUGGUCCGAUCUGCUCUGUUGAGCUUUACAUCGGCGCUCGCGGCUCGCGCCGAAAAUAGAGAGAAGCGGAGCACCCGCGCUCCAGAGCGCGAGCCGUUCCGCGCGCGGCGCUUCCGUGCGCGUGCUGUGUGAACAGUCUCAUAGGUUAACAUGGGCGCCGAUCCGAAACUCUGUGCGCGGCGCUUCCGUUCCCGCGCGCGGCGCUUCCAGUGUGAACCAGGCGUGAACAGCCAAGCGCGAGCCGGCGCUGCGCGCGCGCGCGGCGCUUCCGUUCCGCGCGCGGCGCUUCCUGUGUGAACCAGGCGUCAGUCGGGGGAAGAACUCCGCUCAAGAGAAAAGAAAAGCGUGUGGCUGGUGAUGAACUGAAGCAUCCUCUAUAACUGUAGCGAGCUCGCUGAUGCCGAAGCGGUCGAACUAGUGUCCAAGCUGUCGCAAACCGCGAGGAGUGAAGAAUUGCCGAGCUGUUCCAAAGACGGCUAGUAGCGGCAGUGCUCCUCGGUCUCUGUGAAGCAGACAGAUCCUGCAUACGCUAC